rnacentral:rRNA from 1 species
CCUACGGGUGGCAGCAGUGAGGAAUAUUGGUCAAUGGACGCAAGUCUGAACCAGCCAAGUAGCGUGCAGGAUGACGGCCCUCCGGGUUGUACACUGCUUUUAGUUGGGAAUAAAAGGGGGCUCGUGAGCCCCGUCUUGUAUGUACCAUCCGAAAAAGGACCGGCUAAUUCCGUUCCAGCAGCCGCGGUAAUACGGAAGGUCCGGGCGUUAUCCGGAUUUAGUGGGUUUAAAGGGAGCGUAGGCCGGCUUUUAAGUCAGCUGUGAAAGUCCGCGGCUCAACCGUGGAAUUGCAGUUGAAACUGGAGGCCGUGAGUGCACACAGGGAUGCCGGAAUUCAUGGUGUAGCGGUGAAAUGCUUAGAUAUCAUGAAGAACUCCGAUCGCGAAGGCAAGUGUCCGGGGUGCAACUGACGCUGAGGCUCGAAAGUGCGGGUAUCAAACAGGAUUAGAUACCCGAGUAGUC